UAUUAUACUUAGUUUAAAUUGUUUUAGAUCUUUGAGUAGUAAUCAGGUAUAGUCUCGAAACUCAAAGAAUUUGGCGGUAUUUAAGUCUAGUUAGAGGAAUUUGUGCAGUAAACGAUAGUCCCCGAGUAUCUUGCCCUGUUUUGUUAACUAUUCAGUUUGUAUACCGCCAUUAUUAGAUAAUCUUUUUAGGGAGUUAUUACAAUUAAGUUAAAUUAAGUAUAUUAGGUCAAGGUGCAGCUUAUAAUAGGGGUGCCAUGAAUUACAAUGAUAUAAGAGGUAUACGGAUUGAUCGCGGGAGGUGCGGUCUUUAAGGUGGAUUUAAUUGUAAGGGGCGUAUAUUGUGCGCGGCCUGAUAGGAGCUCUUGGAUAUGUACAYAUCGCCCGUCGUUC
rnacentral:rRNA from 1 species